AGAAUUGAUAGAGGUGCAUCAUAUAAUCAGUACCCGAAGUUGUUAAGGUUUACGUAAGACCGUAGCUUCGGUGAAAGGUGUAGAUGCCGAAGUUGGUCCCAUUUACGUGGGGACUGGGCUGGUUGAACAAAAUAAGAUUUGUUCAACUGUCGCGUAUGCGGAGAGCUAUCUAUAUU
rfam:Desulfosporosinus lacus DSM 15449 genome assembly, contig: EJ50DRAFT_scaffold00001.1